rnacentral:rRNA from 1 species
UUGAACGCUGGCGGAAUGCUUUACACAUGCAAGUCGGGCGGCAGCGCGGGGGCAACCCUGGCGGCGAGCGGCGAACGGGUGAGUAACAUAUCGGAACGUACCCAGACGUGGGGGACAACUAGUCGAAAGACUAGCUAAUACCGCAUACGUCCUGAGGGAGAAAGCGGGGGAUCGCAAGACCUCGCGCGUUUGGAGCGGCCGAUAUCUGAUUAGCUAGAUGGUGGGGUAAAGGCCCACCAUGGCGACGAUCAGUAGCUGGUCUGAGAGGAUGAUCAGCCACACUGGAACUGAGACACGGUCCAGACUCCUACGGGAGGCAGCAUGGGGGAAUUUUGGACAAUGGGGGAAACCCUGAUCCAGCCAUUCCGCGUGAGUGAAGAAGGCCUUCGGGUUGUAAAGCUCUUUCGGCAGGAACGAAACGGCGGAAUCUAAUACAUUCCACUAAUGACGGUACCUGAAGAAGAAGCACCGGCUAACUACGU